rnacentral:rRNA from 1 species
AUGCCUGGCGAGCGAAGGGGCAUUCCAGCAGCAGGUGCUGGAUCGUUUCCGGCUCUUGAUCGCAUAGGAGGCAGCGGGGGUGAUGUUGCAGUACAUGUCGAGCCAGUCUCUCAGCGGUCCAGCACCGGUCUUGGUUGGCCAGCCAGUGCCCAACACUUCCAGAUAAGCUUCCAGCUUCCAGGUGCAGCAAGUCGUCGAUCCAUGGAAUGUGGCCAAGUAGCAGGAUUGUGCAGAGUAGGUGCUGCUAGCCGUCCAUUUCCAGAUCAGCUGGUCCGGGGCAGCAGAGAGCACGGUGUGCUGCAAGACCUGCCAGAGCUGCAGGUACUGACCAAUCUCAUGCAAGCCUAG